UGACCUUCUUUUUCCUAUAUCACACAGUUAAUCUCCUGAAUCGUUGGGUUUCAUAUGGGAUCGAUGGCUGGCGACGGAGCAGAUGAAGAUCGGCGCUUGUUCGUGGCGGUUAACGUCGGUGAUGGAUAUCAAUGUGGCGCCAAGUGAAAAAUCUCUUAUCUGUUCUUAGAUUGCCUAGCCGCGUCGUUUGUUCUUCGCCAGUUCUGGUGAGUGAAUGGAAGCUGUUUCACAGCCGCCAUCCAAGUCCUGGAGGACGAUUCAAUUUCAAGCACAAAUGUUGGUAGAGGCUCUAACCUGACAUAAGUGAUGCUAGUCUUAUGGAUGUUUAGAUGAGUUGGAGCAGUUUCAGACUUCCAGGUACUCAUAAAGCUCUCAUCUCAACCUUUUUCUUUUACUUCUAGAAUCGCUGUAGGAUCUUUUGGAUGAUGAGCUGUAGAUCAGAUGUCAGAAAUGCCAUCAACAUUGCCGCUUUGUUGGUGUAAGAGCAGUUUAGCAGGUCAACUCUCUUAGGUCGUAUACCUCCUAUGUAACAAAUCACUGUUCUUUGUUC